rnacentral:lncRNA from 1 species
UAGUGUUAAAACUAGUUCUAAUGUCUAUAUUUCUCUCUCCAAAAAACCAGGAGAACGUUGCCAGUGACAUUAGAAUCCAGGAGUCUUCGUAUGUGUCACCCUCUCAGUGUGUGCUGACACCACAAGCCCCAUAAUCAGAGAAUGUCAUAGGGGAAGCUCACUGGGAGAAGGAGGUGGCAGUGGCUUCUGCUUGGUGGCAGGAUAUUGCAGUGUUGGACUCUGUUUCAUUUCCGCUGACCAUCCAUACUCUUAAGCCUUUGGGACUUGGCUAACCACAGUCACUCCACUGGCAAGCUCAUUGUCACACAAUAAUCCCCCUGUGACACCAUGAAAGCUUACAGCUUUCUCCCCUGUUAGUGAAUUUUCGAAAAUUAACUGGCAGAGAUUUGAUGGUAAAGUGGGUGGAAGAACAGGUACUUGUCUCAACCUAUCCAUCCAGUCUAGUAGCAAAAUCAUAAUAAUGGCUUGCUGUAUAAGAUAAGGUACCAUGUAUUCUUUUCAGGGCAAGCAGAUUGCAAAUAUAACCUUCUUUUUCAUUUUUUUUUAAAUUCAGAAAUGCUGAGACCUGAAGUUCAACACAGGAAUCUACAGAAUCUGCCAAUUAAAAUAAACCAUUGUGUCCCACUAAGGCUGUACUGUUUGGUUUAACAGAUGAUGAUAAUUUACCUGCAGAAUAGCCUUGUCACUGUAAAAAGAAUUAAAAUUAUAACUCUUCCCCAAUCUUAGCUCGGCGCUUUCUACAGACUGUGGUAUUCUGAGUUUCAAGUAAUAUUCCUCUGUCGCCCCAUAUCCCCAGGUCCUGGAUAAAAAUGAAAUGUACAUUUCAUAAGAAGAUCCCAGUGAGCAGUAAUAAGAAAAAGCAUUCAAUCAUAGUCAAUUGACUAAGGCUGCAGGGACAGGCUCAAGCUACGUUUUUCCUUCUUUUUUUUUUUUUUUUUUUAAUAAGGACUCAAAUAAAAAAAUUAAAUAAAAAUGUUUCUCCCACCAGUUCUAGCUGGCUUGGAAAAGAGAUAGAGUUAAGACUUUCAUACUAUGAAGAUAAUUUUCAAUAAUUAAUUCACAGUUAAUGGAAGCAUCAUUUAUCACCUUAGCUAC